rnacentral:snRNA from 1 species
GUGCUUGCUUCUGCAGCACAUAUACUAAAAUUAUAACGAUACAGAGACUAUUAGCAUGCCGCCCGUGCAAGGAUAACAUGCAAGUUUCGUAAAGUGUUUCAUAUUCUG